AAUAACGCUAAGGACUUGUGCUAGGUGGAUUAAGGAGUACUAACUGAGCACUCUUUCUCUUAAUUUGACAACCUUUCAGCAUUUACAAUUUACGUUACAUUUUAUUUGUUACCAAAGAGCAUUAUUAGAAACCCCCCCAUUUUUCCUUUCUCGCAUAUGUUUAUACUAACUUGAUUUCAAUUCUUUUCAAAUAGGUUUAACACGAGCUUCUU
rnacentral:lncRNA from 1 species